rnacentral:rRNA from 1 species
CAAUAGCGUAUAUUUAAGUUGUUGCAGUUAAAAAGCUCGUAGUUGGAUUUCGGAUGGGAUUUGCCGGUCCGUCGUUACGAUGUGCACUGGCCAGUCCUAUCUUGUUGUCGGGGACUAGCUCCUUGGAUUCACUUCCUGGGACUAGGAGCUGACGAGGUUACUUUGAGUAAAUUAGAGUGUUCAAAGCAAGCCUACGCUCUGAAUACAUUAGCAUGGAAUAACACGAUAGGACUCUGGCUUAUCUUGUUGGUCUGUGAGACCAGAGUAAUGAUUAAGAGGGACAGUCGGGGACAUUCGUAUUUCAUUGUCAGAGGUGAAAUACUUGGAUUUAUGAAAGACGAACUUCUGCGAAAGCAUUUGUCAAGGAUGUUUUCAUUAA